ACACGCCCAGCCCCCUACGGGCAGCCUUUUAUAUACCAUCCUGUGCAUGACGGGGUUGCAGCUGAACCUGCGGGAGUGCUCCCGCCACCGAGCGCAGGAUGCACUUCCGAGGACACGGCCCCCAACUCCGACAAGACCCCUCCAUGGACUGUAGCAGAUCUGUGCGGCUUCCUGGGGCUUUAAGGACUUACUCAGCAUAGCGAAACUGCUGCACCAUCAUACAGAGAGGACAUGGAUGCUAGCACUGAGGGACUAGGUGCGAUGCCUUGCAGGCAGGAUCUAAAGGGGAGCACAUGGCUGUGUACUUCAGGCAAACGCUAAGUAAGCAGGAGCAUAACUACUGCGUGACCCAACAGGAACUGCUAGUCACGGUGCAGGUCUGUAAGAACUUCCUGCCAUACCUCUGUUCCCGUCAGUUCUGGUUGCAGAUGAAACAGGCAUACCUUGUGUAGUUUCUGAAUUUUUGCAACCCAGAGGGACAGCUGCCCCACUGGUUGGAGGUGCUGGUGGAGUUCGAGGUCCAGUGUUGUCUCUAUCUCAUCGGCCACUCAGCUCUGCCAGCUGCUGGAAUUGCUGCCAAGUGGAGGAGCAGGACCAGCUCUCGAUGGUAGUAGCCGCCACCCACACGGCGCUGGGGAACCAGGCCCACUAGGAGCUCAAUCACCAGCAGCUUGUCGUGGAGCAGAGCAGCUACUCAGUGCUGUCAAGGAUGAGGGAAUGGGAGGCGAUCUCUGUCUUCAACCCGGAGAUCUUGGAGACUCCAGACCGCCCCAUUUGGAGUACACUGGCAGCCGGAACUAAGGAGGACGAUGGGGAACCUGGGGCCCUGAGGUCACAGAGAACUCAGGUGACCUUCCAGGAGGGGGGCAAUGUAGUGCUGGGGUUACCCAUCGGACAGCAAGGUAGCAUGCUGGACCGGUGCCAGCAUUGUAAGUGUAAAUAGCUCUGUGUAUUUAUCAUGUAUUAUGUUGUUUUUGUGCCAUACAUAAUGCCAUGUGUAGUGUUAAUGUUAGUUGUAAAUAAUGGUGCACGUGAACCCACCAUUUGUAGUAUGAAUAGUCAGGAUGUUUGGGAUGUCCAGUGAAUGUCUGGUCUCUUUCCAAACUAUUUCCGUUUAUUGAGAGGAUUUUCGGCCAUUAGAAAUAACAUUUAGACAUGCCCACCUUUCCAUACGCCCGCUAUUCCGUCCUGCAGAAACUCACGUCACAACAUGCAAGUCAGGCAACGACUUUACCGCCAAACCAGAAAGUGCCAAGGAAAUUGUGUGUGGCUCCACCCACUUCACCAUACUCUCAUCCUGUUGUUACGCCCACUUUGAAACACCCACAGACCAUUAGACACGCCCACUACUCCAGCCUGCAGAGACCUAUACAAAUUGGUUAGUAACCCUCCACUUCACGUCGGACCACAUAAUACAAGUUGCCGUUGAUUUCAUACAACUUCACAACUCGUCGUGGAUUUUCCCUUAGUUGUACUGUAUGAUCCUCCUCGUUAUCCUACUAAUUUAUUAUAUUUUCGAACCUAAUUUUUCCUAAUA